UUGCCUUCUUGUGGAUUAUAUUCUAUUAUUAGAUUGUCUUCUUCAUUAAGCAUAAAAGGGUGAAGGAGUGAAGAUGGGCUUUAUCAAUAGGCCCAUCAUCAUUGUUUUCUCUUCAAAGAAAAAAGAAAAAAGAAAAAGAAAAAGGGAACAUAAACACUUUACCACUUUGCUCUAGAGCCUUGGAUAUUAGAUAAGAAAGUGGAUGAGGAUGGCCCAAGAAUAAUAAUUUAGAAGAUAAGACAGUAUGACUUAUUUAAACAAUUAACACUUACAAUGGCAUAUUGGAGCACUAAGCUUGUGGUUAUUGAUUUAUAAUAUCACAUAUCCAGAGACAAAUCUUCUGUACUGGGAACUCUUGCAUACCAUCAAAGAUUUUCUUUUUCCUAGCUUCAUUUAUGCACAGAGGGAUUGCACAUGAAGGUUUUAAUGUUGCUAGUGAGGCAGCUCAUCUUCUGAUGUUGACUUGUAUAUACGUGCAGCAGUUGCACAUUUCCCAUUUUUGUAUACUGAUGCACUAAUCUGAUGUCUUUUCA